rnacentral:rRNA from 1 species
GGUCCCAGUUCGGAUUGUAGGCUGCAACUCGCCUACAUGAAGUCGGAGUUGCUAGUAAUCGCGGAUCAGAAUGCCGCGGUGAAUGCGUUCCCGGGUCUUGUACACACCGCCCGUCACACCAUGGAAGUUGGGGGCGCCCGAAGUUGGUCGGGAAAUAGAUUACCUAAGGCGAAACCAAUGACUGGGGUGAAGUCGUAACAAGGUAGC